CCUACGGGCGGCUGCAGUGGGGAAUAUUGCACAAUGGGCGCAAGCCUGAUGCAGCCAUGCCGCGUGUGUGAAGAAGGCCUUCGGGUUGUAAAGCACUUUCAGCGGGGAGGAAGGCGUUAAGGUUAAUAACCUUGGCGAUUGACGUUACCCGCAGAAGAAGCACCGGCUAACUCCGUGCCAGCAGCCGCGGUAAUACGGAGGGUGCAAGCGUUAAUCGGAAUUACUGGGCGUAAAGCGCACGCAGGCGGUCUGUCAAGUCGGAUGUGAAAUCCCCGGGCUCAACCUGGGAACUGCAUUCGAAACUGGGAGGCUAGAGUCUUGUAGAGGGGGGUGGAAUUCCAGGUGUAGCGGUGAAAUGCGUAGAGAUCUGGAGGAAUACCGGUGGCGAAGGCGGCCCCCUGGACAAAGACUGACGCUCAGGUGCGAAAGCGUGGGGAGCAAACAGGAUUAGAUACCCCUGUAGUC
rnacentral:rRNA from 1 species